rnacentral:lncRNA from 1 species
CGCUCACACCAGGCUAGUGGUCUGGCAGGAACGUUGACCUUAGAGGAGUGAUGGUCCAACCCACUCUUCUACAGAAAUCUUUCCAGGUGCCUUUCCCAGUGGAUGGGAGUCUAAGUUCUGCACCCCCAGGAACCCUGGAGAAUGGAAGCUGGAGAGAUGGAGAAGUAGACCCAACACAGAAGAGGACCAUCCCUCACCACCAUCACCAGCCUUCCUUAUGCGUGACUCUCUAACAGGACUGGAGGACUGCAGUCUAUUCCAGAAAGGCAGAGAGUUUUUGAAAUUGAUAUCCAACUGUCUAAGAUGAUGUGGAUAUGCUGGUGUUCCGAAUCAACUCUUCAGUUGAAACCUUUGGCUUCAUUUUCUCCAUGUUAAGUUAUCAGUGUUAUUUUGUGUUACUCCCAGUGAUUGUCAUUCUGAGGCUGCUGCCUGGUCUCUUGGGACAUUAAUAUUUAUGAUUGUCAGUGCCCAUAUCAUUGCUCCUGGCACAAAUUAGCAACUUAUUUAAGCUCAUCAAAAAUAGAUCCACUCUUCCUGUAAUGAGUAUCAUUGCCUUUGUGCUUAAAAUUAUAAAUGGCCGCUUUAGUGUAUGUGCUAAAUUUCUUGAGAAAAUUCUAGUGCAAAAAUGAAACUAGUUUGUUAAAUGGCUAUUGUAAAAGAAAUCCAAAACUCUUAAUAGCAAAAGUGUGGAUUUUGUUUCUUUGCUUGUUUUUUUGACAUAUUUUACUUUUAAAAAUGUGCUU